ACGCUCGACACCUACGGGGAGGCAGCAGUCGGGAAUAUUGCGCAAUGGAGGAAACUCUGACGCAGUGACGCCGCGUAUAGGAAGAAGGUUUUCGGAUUGUAAACUAUUGUCGUUAGGGAAGAAAAAGACAGUACCUAAGGAGGAAGCUCCGGCUAACUACGUGCCGGCAGCCGCGGUAAUCUGAGGCGGGCUGGCAAGGC
rnacentral:rRNA from 1 species